AGCAGCCGCGGUAAUUCCAGCUCCAAUAGCGUAUAUUAAAGUUGUUGCAGUUAAAAAGCUCGUAGUUGAAUUUCGGGGUCAGUAGGUUGGUCAUGCCACUGGUAUGUACUGGUCUCACUGAUUCCUCCUUCCUGAUGAGCCGUAAUGCCAUUAAUUUGGUGUUGCGAGGAAUCUGGACUGUUACUUUGAAAAAAUUAGAGUGUUUAAAGCAGGCUAACGCUUGAAUACAUUAGCAUGGAAUAAUGAAAUAGGACGUUCGAUCUUAUUUUGUUGGUUUCUAAGAUUGACGUAAUGAUUAAUAGGGAUAGUUGGGGGCAUUAGUAUUCAAUUGUCAGAGGUGAAAUUCUUGGAUUUAUUGAAGACUAACUACUGCGAAAGCAUUUGCCAAGGAUGUUUUCAUUAAUCAAGAACGAAAGUUAGGGGAUCGAAGACGAUCAGAUACCGUCGUAGUCUUAACCAUAAACUAUGCCGACUAGGGAUCGGAUGAUGUUAAUUUUUAUGA
rnacentral:rRNA from 1 species